AGUCGACCUGCCCAAUGAACUAUAUUAAAUGGCUGCAGUAUAACUGACUGUACAAAGGUAGCAUAAUCAAUUGAUUUUUAAAUGGAAUCUGGAAUGAAAGGAUUAAUGAAAUAUAUACUGUCUCACGUAUACUUCACAAACUUAAAAUUUUAAUCAAAAUGUUAAAAUUAGUUUAUGGGACGAUAAGACCCUAUAGAAUUUUAUAUUAAUUCAUCUUAAUACUUAAUAUAAAAAAUGAAUUAAUAUUUAGUUGGGAGGACUAUUAAAUUUAAAUAACUUUAAUUUUAGAUAACUUUAAUUAGAGAGUAAAAUUAAAUGAUCUCCAAAUUGGAAUUUUUAGAUUAAAUUACCUUAGGGAUAACAGCGUUAUACUUUUUUAUAGGCCAUAUAGAAAAAAGUGAUUGCGACCUCGAUGUUGAAUUAAGAUAAAUUUUGAACGCAGGAGUUCAAUAAUUAAGUCUGUUCGACUUUUAAAAUCUUACAUGAUUUGAGUUCAAAUCGACGUAAGU
rnacentral:rRNA from 1 species